GACUCAGAACCAGUUUGACCAAAAAAAUGAACAAAAUGAAAAAUAAAGACAAUGAUGAAGAGGUAACGUAAUCUGUGAUAGAGUGCUGUGACGAGGCUUGCGAUGAAACAGGCAUUGAUUAGAUUCCAUAGUCAAUAGGUGUGAGGAUCAGUGAUGAAGCAGCAAGAAUUAACUGUGUUACUGUGCCUCUUAUGGGCACUAACCAUCCUCUAUGGCGAGAUGUUCGCUUACUGGGUUCCACCCCUCUUCACUUGCUCUUGGCCCCAUCUUCUUCGCACCUCUUCUUCUUCAACGAUUCAAACAGACAGUGGGAAUUAUCAAGCUGAUUAUGUAAAGGUUGCUGUUAUUGCAGAUCCACAGCUCAUGGAUAAAACUUCUCUACCUCUUCCUGCAAAAUCACUUGCACUGGAACUUGCAGAAUUCUACACUGAUUUAAACAUGCGAAGAUCUUUUUUUGCAUCUGUCCUGCCUUUCAAACCUGAUGUCAUAUUGUUUUUAGGUGAUUACUUCGAUGGUGGUCCUUAUUUAUCAGAUGAAGAAUGGCAGGAGUCUUUCAAUCGCUUCAGACAUAUCUUUGGUCUGAAUGCACAAGGAAAAUACACAGACAUGCACGCAUACUACAUUCCAGGAAAUCAUGAUAUUGGCUAUGAAAGUAUUCAUUCUCAAAAGCCAGAGGUUGUUGAUGUCACAGAAAUUCUUUGAAGUUGCCUGAUAACUGGUUUUGACCACUGUAAAAUGACAUUUUGGCACUAAAGUUAUCCAACGCUAUGAGGAAACAUUUGGGAUCAGGAACUACAGAUUUAAAGUUGGAAGAGCAGAUUUUAUUGCCAUUGAUGCACAAACUCUGGAUGGACACCCACAAAAUCAUCUGACUUCUCAAACAUGGGAUUUUGUGAAGAAUAUCUCUGUUGAUGACAUGGUUAAUCCAAGAGUCUUAUUAACACAUAUUCCUUUAUAUCGACGUGAAGAUACUUACUGUGGUCUUUACCGCAAUUCCCCAAUUGUCAAUCAGAGGAUACAUCGUACUGUAAAUGGUGAUACUAAUGAUAUAAUGUAUCAGAAUUAUGUUUUUGAGGAGUCAUCCAUGUACUUACUGGAUAGAAUCAAACCUGUGAGUCAUCUAUCUUCUCUUUGGACUGUUGUGAAUUGCUAUUCCAACCUGAAAUGGAUGUGGGAAAAAAUUAAUCCGUGAUGGAUUUGCCAACAUUUUGUCGUUCAUUUUGUGUCUUUCAUUUUUAGAAUACCUUGUGGUAUGAUGAUAAAAACUCUUGGGUCAUUUUCAUUUUCUCUGUCAAGAUGACUUGGAAGUGAAGGAUGACUGAGAAUAUAGGGGAAUUAAGAGUGGAGACGAUAAUGAGGAUAACACUCUUCUGAGUAAAAAUUUUGGUUUUGACAGAAGCUUAUUUUAUCUGGCCACGACCAUGAUCAGUGCACCAUUACUCAUCAAUCUAAAUCUGGACCUGUAAGCGAGCUCACCCUAGGUACUAUAAGUUGGCAACAAGGAAACUUGUAUCCUUCUUUCAUGCUGUUAUCAGUUGAUAACUCAACUCUUCCAAAUGCUUCCAUUCCCAAAAACGCUUUGUUGACUCAUUUGUGUUAUCUUCCGAUGCAAACACAUAUUUACAUAUGGUAUAUUGUGCUAUUUGUUCUGACCCUUUUUACUACUCUACUUUGGCCAACAAGUGGCACAAGUUUGUGGCAUCAGUGUUUGAGCUUAAUUAGCAAUGGUAAACUACUACUAGCUUGCAUCUUUUCUAGAAGCGAAACGAAAGACAAGGAUGAGGAUGCUAACUAUGAAUAUGAAAUGAUGUGGGAUGCGGAUGGAUCAAUGCAUCUUGUAAAGAAACCCUUGAAUGCAUCUACUGUAAAUUCAAACGAAAGGAGCAUAGGGGAAAGGGGUAAUGUUGUGAUGCGACCGGCUGCUAGGAAAAAUAUGGCUCAGGAAGCUGAUCUCUCUGUGAAUGUUGAUAUGGAUUCAGGCAUUGGGCUUGAUCCUCUAGCAAGAGUACCUCCCAGAGCUGGCAAAUCAAAGACAAAAAUUAUAAUCCAAAGAUUGAUCCGCACUCUGCGAAUGCUGACUGUCGUUGCAGCAGUGAAUGUUCCUCUUUACAUGAUGUUGCUAUUCAAGGAUUGGAUUGAAAAAUAAAGAUGAAAUUCCUGUUAGAGUGAUAUCGUUCAGGUUUUACAUUCACAUUUUUUUCUUUCUUUAAAUGAAAAUUCGUGGUCCAGUUAGAUAUUCAAGGAGGUAAUUGCUAUCAACAUAAACAAAUUAAUCAUAUGUUGAUGUUUUUGUAUGUUUACUUAGUGGCUUGAAACUUACAUUUAAAUUAUUCAUGAUAUGGCCAUGAUCAUAUGGUACACUUAGUA